rnacentral:lncRNA from 1 species
UCACAGCCAUUAAGUUUAUAUGGUAUCGACAUACAAGCUGAACUGAAAUACGUUGGACAGCAUGUUUUACAUAUAACUCGAUAACAUAUUUACAAGGAUAAGGAAACUACUAUAGUACAUCCUUUGUAUUUGAUCCUUUCGGCAUACAAGCUGAACUGAAAUACGUUGGACAGCAUGUUUUACGUAUAACUCGAUAACAUAUUUACAAGGAUAAGGAAACUACUAUAGUACAUCCUUUGUAUUUGAUCCUUUCGGCAUUAGAGAAACAGAUUCCAAACUUUCAUGCCCAUCCAAUCUACAAUUCGUCAGUAUGAGGCUAUUACACCGGAUUGGCAAC